rnacentral:tRNA from 1 species
GGGACGGUUGAGCAGUCUGGUAGCUCGCCAACCUGGAAAGCUGGAGGUCGCAACAGGCAAGCCACGUAGCGGUACGGAUAGGCAAGCUGGGUUCGAAUCCCGCCCGUUCCC